CCUACGGGAGGCAGCAGUGAGGAAUAUUGGUCAAUGGGCGCGAGCCUGAACCAGCCAAGUAGCGUGAAGGAUGACGGCCCUAUGGGUUGUAAACUUCUUUUAUAUGGGAAUAAAGUUUGGUAUGCAUACCAUUUUGUAUGUACCAUAUGAAUAAGGAUCGGCUAACUCCGUGCCAGCAGCCGCGGUAAUACGGAGGAUCCGAGCGUUAUCCGGAUUUAUUGGGUUUAAAGGGAGCGUAGGUGGAUUGUUAAGUCAGUUGUGAAAGUUUGCGGCUCAACCGUAAAAUUGCAGUUGAAACUGGCAGUCUUGAGUACAGUAGAGGUGGGCGGAAUUCGUGGUGUAGCGGUGAAAUGCUUAGAUAUCACGAAGAACUCCGAUUGCGAAGGCAGCUCACUGGACUGUUGACUGACACUGAGGCUCGAAA
rnacentral:rRNA from 1 species